AGCUGUUCAGCAUUCCCCACGGAGACCUGUCAAGAUGCUGUCGCAGGCCCAGCUUCUCUGGAUACUAGUGCUUUGGAUUCAGGACUCCUAUGGCCAAAUUGUUUUGACUCAGAUUCCAGAAUCCCUGUCAGUGUCCCCUGGAGAGAGAGUCACCAUCAACUGCAAAGCCAGUACCAGCAUUAGCAACUACUUAGCCUGGUUCCAACAGAAAUCGGGACAAGCUCCUAAGCUUCUUAUCUACGAUUCUACUAAUCGCGCCUCUGGGAUCCCAGACCGGUUCAGCGGCAGUGGGUCUGGGACUGAUUUCACUCUCACAAUCAGCAGGGUUGAAGCUGAAGAUGCUGGAGAUUAUUACUGUCAGCAACGUAACAGCUUCCCUCUCACAGUGAUACAGACCAUUACAAAAACCUCCCUGAAAAGAGAGAAAGCUCGCUGCUUACUGUACAACUACAGACACACCUGGAUUUAUGCUUUGAUUUCACAUACAGAUGCCAGUGGAGACAUUGUGAUGACGCAGACUCCGGAAUCCCUGUUGGUAUCUCCAGGAGACAGAGUCACCAUCAACUGCAAAGCCAGUUCCAACAUCGGCAGUGAGAUAGACUGGUACCAACAGAAAUCAGGAGAAGCUCCUAAGCUUCUUAUCUAUUAUGCUUCCACCCGUCCCUCCGGGAUCCCAGACCGGUUCAGUGGCAGUGGGUCUGGCACUGACUUCACUUUGACAAUCGGCAGUUUUCAAGCUGAUGAUGCUGGCAGUUAUUAUUGUCAACAGGACUAUGGUUUGCCUCUCACACAGUGA